UAAAGUGCAAACCCUCGGCUGGUGACAUGAUAAUAAAGAAACCAGAAGAGUGAUAAUGCAGUGCAUGUAGCAUGUAUGACUAGCAUGCACUAGCACAGCAACUCAAGAGCAAUAAAACUAAACUAACAACGUACAUGCAUGAGACAUGCACUAUGGACUGGGAUCACAGCAAAGAAGCCUGGAGUCUUAGACUAAGAGAAGUAUGGCUCCUUCCAGGCUGGAGUACGUAUAGGAUCCAGAGUCAGUCAACAACCAGUCACAAUUCUACUUUCUUGACAAUUGUUCCUGGUACGGGAUCACUUCAGCUGAAAAUACAUAAUCAAGCCUUGACUACGUAUUUUCAGCUGAAGUGAUCCCGUACCUUGACUCAAGGCCACGUGGCAAGUUUAAGCUUCUUAGCUUUUGCUCGCUUUUACUCGACAAAGAAGCUUUAACAUCAAAAUCUGCCACUAUUGAAACCAAGAUAUUGUUGUGUGAAGACUACCUAUGCUGCAAACGCAGUGCUAUGGCAUCCAGGUGAGUAGAUAUACUCGUUACAAACAAACAAACAAACAAACAGACAAACAAACAGACAGGCUACUAUAACCCGUGGCCGCCCACGCGCCUCGGGUUAAUGAGGUAUAAUGCAUAAGAGGUGGAAUAGACUACAAGCAGACACUUGUGUACACAUUGGAGAUUAUUGCAUGUGAGGUGGUGGAGGUCAACAUAUAACCAUGCAUGUACUCGGGGAUUUAAAAAGCCUAACAUAAUUAUAUAACAUGGGCCCAGGUACAAAUAACCCGGCUAGGUUUAUCAUCCACCUGUACUAACAAUGUCAUGUGUAGUCGGAGUUGAAAGUAUAAACAUAAACGAUAAACUACUUAGGGCCUAAGGACACAAUAAUAGCUUGGGGACCUACGUACACACAAGCCGCACACAACAGUGUUAGCUCUUAUAGCUACAAUCUUAGAAAAUGAAGCUCUUUCUGGUGUUACUACUAACAUACUGCACAGUGGUGACAAGGACAGGAGGAUUGUUCAGAUGCAAUAGGCACAUUUCUUGUAGAAGAAAUUGCUGGUUUUGUGACUGCUCCUCUCAAUGCACGUGCACUACUUGUCUAAUGCCAGAAGCCAUCACCAUCACUGUUAGUGUAACAGUUUGCCCCACAAAGGCAACACAAGUACUAGCAACUACAUCACAAACACCAGCCAUUACUACUGCAGUCAGCUUCAUGAGUCCAGUAACACCAACCACUACAAUGCCAGGAUCUACAGUUACCACCCAACCACAGAGUCUAACCCCAGCGAGUCUAACCACGGGCUUAACUGCCUCUACUGGUGUUCUAGUGGCUCUACUGACAGGCACUAUACUAGGAUGGGUCAGUACUUGUGUGUACUGGAGAUAUUGGUACAAACACUUCACCAAACAACAAGAAGUAACGGACAACAGUAGGUCGCUACAUAAUGCAAUGUACGACCCCACCCUCACACUACCCACCCCCAUCACAAGCCACGCCCAACUACAGCUCCCUCGGUCACGUCUACGAACUGGUCGAACCAAUCGGAGGUGACUAUAUGACAUCAUCAAUAGGGGAGGGGCUUGUCACACCCCCUGAAUCACAUGACCAAGAGUAUAAUACGCUGGGCAACACAAGAGUGGAUCAUGACUAUCAGAUAUUGGAAACAGGGGAAGUGAAAUCGACCAAUCAGAAUAGCCAGAGCAUAACGAAAAAUUGUGUGAAUGUUGUUACAAGGGAAGCCGUAGAAGAAAGUGGUAGCCAUGACGACAAUACAAGCAAUCAAAUCGACAGUGGACUAGUUGGGACUCGAGAUUGUGAUAUUGAAAGUGAAGAUAUUGACAAGACGUACGAUAAUCUGAAGCACUGAUUAUUGUGUGUGUGUAUAAACUCAUAAAUAUUCAAUUAGCCUCUUAGAAACCAACACAACUAUAAAGAAAAUGGUUUCAGAAACUCUAAACAUCGGCACUAACCUUUGAAAUACAUUAGGUAGACAAAUGCUAUACUAUCAGUACCAAACACUCAACGGAAUUAUGACAACUGUUCUUAUGAUAAAACAUACAAUCUGUGUGGACUUGGUGUUGACUUUUCAGGACAUUUAACUUCAUACAGAAGGUACAUGAUAGGUGCAGUUAGUCAAGUUCAACCACAUCAAGAUGAAGUUUGUAUUUGUACUAUUAGUAGCAGCAGUUCACCGGAGCCUUUCCAUUGGGGGAACUCCUAUACGAAGUCAAUAGUUAUCAUACAUAACAUGAACACUUUAUGGCAUUCGUUUGCAUUAUAGAAUGCAGUCGUUCUGUGAAGUACUUAUUCAAGUUAAUGGACCAACAUGCCUAAAUAUUUGCCGCAAUGUUUUGAGAAACAACUUGAUAGAUAAUAUUAUAGGCAGUUGUAACUUGAACUCAGGAGAGGCUUGCAUAACGAUUAUUAAUGUAACAGGCAUUCAGAGAGAUUCAUGCUCUCCGGUCAUAACACCAUCAUGCCCCACUACAACCACGGUCAUUACACAGUACUUGAGUAUCACACCAACAAAUUGUCUACAGCCUACACACACCAAGGAAAUGUCUACAACCGUGGGGACAGGAAACACUGACGCAGCUACUGGAGAAGCUACAUGUACCUGCAGUGAAGUGACAGCCACCAUGAUGUCAGCUGCUGUAGAAGACCAAAACAGUAGUCCAGUGAUACUAGGAGCAUUCAUAGCUGUACUAGCAGCACUGCUGGUUGCAGUAACUACAGGAUGGAUAGUCACUUGUGUGGUCAACAGAAGGAAAGAUGAAGCUUCAACAAUAAGUAACAAAGAUAACGCUCUACAAAACCCAGUGUACGAUUCCGAACAUGUCCAGCGUUACCAAGGCAACCCAUCGGCUCGCACACAGACAGGCUACAGCUCACAGGGUCCGGCCUACGAACAAGUCAGGGUUGACACGGGAACUAACUAUGAUGUCAUUGAUCGCAGUGGACCACGCCCACCAACCACACACCCUGACCCAUAUCUGACCAAGACUACAGUACAUUGGAUACUGACGAGCAAGAGCAUGACUAUCAUGUGCUAGAGUCCACCAAUGCAGGGGGUCCAACAGCUGUGGGGGGUCAAGAGCCUCAAGACUACGAGAUACCACUCAGAAAGAUGUAGUAGCUACGUAAGAGACAGUGUUUGCAAUAGAAACUGAAAGCUAACUCAACAGUUUAUAAACAACUCCAUAAUUAUCCUAAUUACAUGUGUUCUAGUUCAGUAGAAUAAGAUUAUAACAUUGAUUUGUACUUGCACACUCACUCUCUUAGUUCCCCAAAUAUCAGACACAGAACAUGAAGGGUACAAAUGAAGCACUGUACAGUAUGAGAUGAGGUAUUAUACA